GAACGGGGAUUAGCCCUUAAGCUUCAUUGAUUUUAGCGGAACGCUCUGGAAAGUGCGGCCAUAGUGGGUGAUAGCCCCGUACGCGAAAGGAUCUUUGAAGUGAAAUCGAGUAGGACGGAGCACGAGAAACUUUGUCUGAACAUGGGGGGACCAUCCUCCAAGGCUAAAUACUACUGACUGACCGAUAGUGAACCAGUACCGUGAGGGAAAGGCGAAAAGAACCCCGGAGAGGGGAGUGAAAUAGAACCUGAAACCGUAUGCGUACAAGCAGUGGGAGCCUACUUGUUAGGUGACUGCGUACCUUUUGUAUAAUGGGUCAGCGACUUAUAUUCAGUGGCAAGCUUAACCGUAUAGGGUAGGCGUAGCGAAAGCGAGUCUUAAUAGGGCGUUUAGUCGCUGGGUAUAGACCCGAAACCGGGCGAUCUAUCCAUGAGCAGGUUGAAGGUUAGGUAACACUGACUGGAGGACCGAACCCACUCCCGUUGAAAAGGUAGGGGAUGACUUGUGGAUCGGAGUGAAAGGCUAAUCAAGCUCGGAGAUAGCUGGUUCUCCUCGAAAGCUAUUUAGGUAGCGCCUCAUGUAUCACUCUGGGGGGUAGAGCACUGUUUCGGCUAGGGGGUCAUCCCGACUUACCAAACCGAUGCAAACUCCGAAUACCCAGAAGUGCCGAGCAUGGGAGACACACGGCGGGUGCUAACGUCCGUCGUGAAAAGGGAAACAACCCAGACCGCCAGCUAAGGUCCCAAAGUUGUGGUUAAGUGGUAAACGAUGUGGGAAGGCUUAGACAGCUAGGAGGUUGGCUUAGAAGCAGCCAUCCUUUAAAGAAAGCGUAAUAGCUCACUAGUCGAGUCGGCCUGCGCGGAAGAUGUAACGGGGCUCAAACCACACACCGAAGCUGCGGGUGUCACGUAAGUGACGCGGUAGAGGAGCGUUCUGUAAGCCUGUGAAGGUGAGUUGAGAAGCUUGCUGGAGGUAUCAGAAGUGCGAAUGCUGACAUGAGUAACGACAAUGGGUGUGAAAAACACCCACGCCGAAAGACCAAGGGUUCCUGCGCAACGUUAAUCGACGCAGGGUUAGUCGGUUCCUAAGGCGAGGCUGAAAAGCGUAGUCGAUGGGAAACAGGUUAAUAUUCCUGUACUUCUGGUUACUGCGAUGGAGGGACGGAGAAGGCUAGGCCAGCUUGGCGUUGGUUGUCCAAGUUUAAGGUGGUAGGCUGAAAUCUUAGGUAAAUCCGGGGUUUCAAGGCCGAGAGCUGAUGACGAGUCGUCUUUUAGAUGACGAAGUGGUUGAUGCCAUGCUUCCAAGAAAAGCUUCUAAGCUUCAGGUAACCAGGAACCGUACCCCAAACCGACACAGGUGGUCGGGUAGAGAAUACCAAGGCGCUUGAGAGAACUCGGGUGAAGGAACUAGGCAAAAUGGCACCGUAACUUCGGGAGAAGGUGCGCCGGCUAGGGUGAAGGAUUUACUCCGUAAGCUCUGGCUGGUCGAAGAUACCAGGCCGCUGCGACUGUUUAUUAAAAACACAGCACUCUGCAAACACGAAAGUGGACGUAUAGGGUGUGACGCCUGCCCGGUGCCGGAAGGUUAAUUGAUGGGGUUAGCGCAAGCGAAGCUCUUGAUCGAAGCCCCGGUAAACGGCGGCCGUAACUAUAACGGUCCUAAGGUAGCGAAAUUCCUUGUCGGGUAAGUUCCGACCUGCACGAAUGGCGUAACGAUGGCGGCGCUGUCUCCACCCGAGACUCAGUGAAAUUGAAAUCGCUGUGAAGAUGCAGUGUAUCCGCGGCUAGACGGAAAGACCCCGUGAACCUUUACUGUAGCUUUGCACUGGACUUUGAGCCUGCUUGUGUAGGAUAGGUGGGAGGCUUUGAAGCGUGGACGCCAGUUCGCGUGGAGCCAUCCUUGAAAUACCACCCUGGCAUGCUUGAGGUUCUAACUCUGGUCCGUGAUCCGGAUCGAGGACAGUGUAUGGUGGGCAGUUUGACUGGGGCGGUCUCCUCCUAAAGAGUAACGGAGGAGUACGAAGGUGCGCUCAGACCGGUCGGAAAUCGGUCGCAGAGUAUAAAGGCAAAAGCGCGCUUGACUGCGAGACAGACACGUCGAGCAGGUACGAAAGUAGGUCUUAGUGAUCCGGUGGUUCUGUAUGGAAGGGCCAUCGCUCAACGGAUAAAAGGUACUCCGGGGAUAACAGGCUGAUACCGCCCAAGAGUUCAUAUCGACGGCGGUGUUUGGCACCUCGAUGUCGGCUCAUCACAUCCUGGGGCUGAAGCCGGUCCCAAGGGUAUGGCUGUUCGCCAUUUAAAGUGGUACGCGAGCUGGGUUUAGAACGUCGUGAGACAGUUCGGUCCCUAUCUGCCGUGGACGUUUGAGAUUUGAGAGGGGCUGCUCCUAGUACGAGAGGACCGGAGUGGACGAACCUCUGGUGUUCCGGUUGUCACGCCAGUGGCAUUGCCGGGUAGCUAUGUUCGGAAAAGAUAACCGCUGAAAGCAUCUAAGCGGGAAACUUGCCUCAAGAUGAGAUCUCACUGGGAACUUGAUUCCCCUGAAGGGCCGUCGAAGACUACGACGUUGAUAGGCUGGGUGUGUAAGCGUUGUGAGGCGUUGAGCUAACCAGUACUAAUUGCCCGUGAGGCUUGACCA
rnacentral:rRNA from 1 species